CAAUCACCGUGCUCCUCAAAUCUCCGCCGCCGCCACCUCCGAUUCCGCCUGAGCCCGGCCAUCUCCGGCGCCUCCAUCAACGGGCGGGACUUCGCCUCGCCCCACUCUACCGAUUUCCCGCCUGAACCGCUGCUCUAGGCCCCUGAUGCGCCCGCACGACUAACCCUAGCCGUGCCUCGGGGUCGCCGGCAAGGCGGUGUGGUGGCCGUCGGCUGAGCCCUCGCGCAGCUCCUCUCGGACCUCGCGCCCCUCUUAGUCGCAGCUGCGUUCAUCCACUCUGCACCUUUGCUGCGUCCUCCUCCGGCAAACUGCUUCUCCGCCUGGCUGCGGAGUCUGUCGGACACCAUUGUAGGUGCCUCGCGCGCUCUUGGAACCACAGGGAGUGGAUGCUGGUGCCGAUAUUUCGUCAAACAGGUUGGCUGCAUGAAUCCAGGGAGGCGGAGCUUCAAUCAGUACUCAAGAUAUAGACACCGCAAUGCAGGAAUCACAUAUGUAUUGCACGAGCAGAUAAGGCAGCUAAGUAAGAUGGGGAAAAUGGGCAACUAAUCAAAGAAUGGAGCCUCGGGCCACAGACCAUGGAACUGCUCCGGCCGGCCAAAACGAACCAUUUCUGUGUACUAAGACUAACAAUCUAGCAACCGAUUGGCUGAUGGAAUCACGCACAGAGCAGCCUCUUGGUAGGAAUGAGUUGGCUGUUAGUUAGAUCCCGUGCCCUUUUAAGUACUAGCUACUAGCCUCCGAUUCCCAUUACUACGACUGAGAAGAAACUAAAGGACGGCGUACUGACCUGCAAGCGUUGGUCGCCAAGCCGGGCGCUUCAGUCUCACUGGCUCUCACUGGCAGGCAUGUGUGAAGGCCUUGAUUUUUUAUUUUUAUUUUUGAGCAACAACUGAGAGUUUUACAUAGCCCGGGGGCAAUAAAAGCCAAACAUGGCCGCCCACAUUAAGGACUAAAUAAUUUCUAUCAAUAUAAUGGGCAUGCCAUUUACAGCUCCUACUUUCAAA